CCACCUGGGGAGUACGGCAGCAAGGCUGAAACUCAAAGGAAUUGACGUGGGCCUGCACAAGCAGUGGAGUAUGUGGUUUAAUUCGAAGCUACGCGAAGAACAUUACCAGGGCUUGACAUCCAUCGGAUAACAUAGAGAUAUGUUAGUCAUUCGGGACGAGGAGACAGGUGGUGCAUGGUUGUCGUCAGCUCGUGUCGUGAGAUGUUGGGUUAAGUCCAGCAACGAGCGCAACCCAUAUUGUUAGUUGCCAUCAUUAAGUUGGGCACUCUAACGAGACUGCCGGUGACAAAUCGGACCAAGGUGCGCACGACGUCAAAUCAUCAUGCACAUUAUGUCAUGGGCUACACACGUACUACAAUGGUCACUACAAAGGGAAGCAAUACCGCAAGGAGGAGCAAAUCCCCAAAGGUGACCUCAGUUCGGAUUGUGGGCUGAACCCGCCCACAUGAAGUCGGAAUUGCUAGUAAUGGCAGUCACACUCCUCCAGUGAUACGUUCCCGGGCAUGUACACACCGCCAGUCACACCAUGAGAGUU
rnacentral:rRNA from 1 species